UUAAUAAUAAGUUUAACUCUCUUCAUAUACGUAUUUCAGAGUUAAUUUGAUAAGUGGAUUGAGAAAUGUGUGAAACAACCGUUAUACUCUAAAAGCUUAAGCUGGUAGAUAACGAUGUUUAAACAUUUUUAUAUUUAACAAAAUGUUUCUGAACAAAUCCAAUGCUUAAAAACCCUACAAAAGUUUCUUUAAGAUUCUC
rnacentral:lncRNA from 1 species